rnacentral:rRNA from 1 species
GACGAACGCUGGCGGCGUGCUUAACACAUGCAAGUCGAACGGAAAGGCCCUGCGUUUGUGGGGUGCUCGAGUGGCGAACGGGUGAGUAACACGUGAGUAACCUGCCCUUGACUUUGGGAUAACUUCAGGAAACUGGGGCUAAUACCGGAUAGGAGCUCCUGCUGCAUGGUGGGGGUGGGAAAGUUUCGGCGGGUGGGGAUGGACUCGCGGCUUAUCAGCUUGUUGGUGGGGUAGUGGCUUACCAAGGCUUUGACGGGUAGCCGGCCUGAGAGGGUGACCGGCCACAUUGGGACUGAGAUACGGCCCAGACUCCUACGGGAGGCAGCAGUGGGGAAUAUUGCACAAUGGGCGGAAGCCUGAUGCAGCAACGCCGCGUGCGGGAUGACGGCCUUCGGGUUGUAAACCGCUUUCGCCUGUGACGAAGCGUGAGUGACGGUAAUGGGUAAAGAAGCACCGGCUAACUACGUG